rnacentral:sRNA from 1 species
CUUUAGCAAAGAGUCUGCGCUAGUGAUUGCAGAGGAUAGCUUUUGGCGAGCGGCUGCAUCGAGCCAAAACUAGUAACGAAAAGCACGACCCUUG